UACGUAGGCAGCGAGCGUUGUUCGGAGUUACUGGGCGUAAGGGUGUGUAGGCGGUUGUUUAAGUUUGGUGUGAAAUCUCCCGGCUCAACUGGGAGGGUGCGCCGAAUACUGAAUGACUUGGAGUGCGGGAGAGGAAAGUGGAAUUCCUGGUGUAGCGGUGAAAUGCGUAGAUAUCAGGAGGAACACCUGCGGUGUAGACGGCUUACUGGACCAUCACUGACGCUGAGGCACGAAAGCGUGGGUAGCAAACAGG
rnacentral:rRNA from 1 species